rnacentral:pre_miRNA from 1 species
UUUUAUGAGUGAGCAAAGAAGGUGGUUUCCUGAGACAGAAUCUACUCCUGGUGAAGAUGCUGUGAA